rnacentral:rRNA from 1 species
AGUGAACGCUGGCGGUAGGCCUAACACAUGCAAGUCGAACGGCAGCACAGUAAGAGCUUGCUCUUACGGGUGGCGAGUGGCGGACGGGUGAGGAAUACAUCGGAAUCUACUUUUUCGUGGGGGAUAACGUAGGGAAACUUACGCUAAUACCGCAUACGACCUACGGGUGAAAGCAGGGGAUCUUCGGACCUUGCGCGAUUGAAUGAGCCGAUGUCGGAUUAGCUAGUUGGCGGGAUAAAGGCCCACCAAGGCGACGAUCCGUAGCUGGUCUGAGAGGAUGAUCAGCCACACUGGAACUGAGACACGGUCCAGACUCCUACGGGAGGCAGCAGUGGGGAAUAUUGGACAAUGGGCGCAAGCCUGAUCCAGCCAUACCGCGUGGGUGAAGAAGGCCUUCGGGUUGUAAAGCCCUUUUGUUGGGAAAGAAAAGCAGCAGGUUAAUACCCCGCCGUUCUGACGGUACCCAAAGAAUAAGCACCGGCUAACUUCGUG